GCAGACGUGGCAGGGUUAGGGAAGGAAGGGCUUGGUUCUGUAGUCUUCUUCUUGGGGGGUGAGGCUGGCUUGAGAAGCAUCAAGCCGAUGCUGUGUGCUCUGCCUUCCCAGGGUUACAACAACUGGACGAAUGGGCUGUAUGGCUAUUCCUGGGACAUGAUGGUGCACUCCCGCUCCCACCAGCAUGUAAAGAUCACCUACCGUGAUGGCCUCACUGGAGAGCUGGGCUACCUUAACCCUGGGGCUUUUUGACCCUCGCGUGGACAUCGUGCAGGCCGUGUGGUCCCCCUUCCGGCGCACGCCUUGGGUGCAGCCACUCUUGAUGGACUUAUCUCCCUGGAGGACCAAGUUACAAGACAUUAAGAGCAGUCUGGACAACCACACUGAGGUGGUCUUCAUUGCAGAUUUCCCUGGUAUGGGGGAAAGCCAGGGGAGAUGUUGCUUUCUUUCUUUGGCUUCCUUGACCACAGAGGCAUUGCACAUGCUGGGGUAGGGAGGGGACUCAGAAGUGAUGGUGGUAAAGGUGUGCUGUGCUGAGCUGGUGAGGUGGGGUGGAUGGUGAACGCUCUCGCUCCUGGCAGGGCUUCACUUGGAGAAUUUUGUGAGUGAAGACCUGGGCAACACCAGCAUCCAGCUGCUGCAGGGAGAAGUCACUGUGGAAUUGGUGGCAGAACAGAAAAACCAGACUCUUCGAGAAGGAGAGAAAAUGCAGUUGCCUGCUGGAGAGUACCAUAAAGUCUAUACUGUAUCAUCUAGUCCUUCCUGCUACAUGUACGUCUAUGUCAACACUACAGAGGUCGCACUGGAGCAAGACCUAGCAUAUCUGCAAGAAUUAAAGGAGAAGGUGGAGAACGGA
rnacentral:lncRNA from 1 species